AGCGUACACGGUGGAUGCCUAGGCAGUCAGAGGCGAUGAAGGGCGUGCUAAUCUGCGAAAAGCGUCGGUAAGGUGAUAUGAACCGUUAUAACCGGCGAUACCCGAAUGGGGAAACCCAGUGUGUUUCGACACACUAUCAUGUCAUGAAUACAUAGUGGCAUGAGGCGAACCGGGGGAACUGAAACAUCUAAGUACCCCGAGGAAAAGAAAUCAACCGAGAUUCCCCCAGUAGCGGCGAGCGAACGGGGAGGAGCCCAGAACCUGAAUCGGCUUGUGUGUUAGUGGAAGCGUCUGGAAAGUCGCGCAGCAAAGGGUGAUAGCCCCGUACACUAAAAUGCACAGGUCGUGAGUUCGAUGAGUAGGGCGGGACACGUGACAUCCUGUCUGAAUAUGGGGGGACCAUCCUCCAAGGCUAAAUACUCCUGACUGACCGAUAGUGAACCAGUACCGUGAGGGAAAGGCGAAAAGAACCCCGGCGAGGGGAGUGAAAUAGAACCUGAAACCGUGUACGUACAAGCAGUGGGAGCACCUUCGUGGUGUGACUGCGUACCUUUUGUAUAAUGGGUCAGCGACUUAUAUUUUGUAGCAAGGUUAACCGUAUAGGGGAGCCGUAGGGAAACCGAGUCUUAACUGGGCGAUUAGUUGCAAGGUAUAGACCCGAAACCCGGUGAUCUAGCCAUGGGCAGGUUGAAGGUUGGGUAACACUAACUGGAGGACCGAACCGACUAAUGUUGAAAAAUUAGCGGAUGACUUGUGGCUGGGGGUGAAAGGCCAAUCAAACCGGGAGAUAGCUGGUUCUCCCCGAAAGCUAUUUAGGUAGCGCCUCGUGAACUCAUCUUCGGGGGUAGAGCACUGUUUCGGCUAGGGGGCCAUCCCGGCUUACCAAACCGAUGCAAACUCCGAAUACCGAAGAAUGUUAUCACGGGAGACACACGGCGGGUGCUAACGUCCGUCGUGAAGAGGGAAACAACCCAGACCGCCAGCUAAGGUCCCAAAGUCAUGGUUAAGUGGGAAACGAUGUGGGAAGGCAUAGACAGCCAGGAUGUUGGCUUAGAAGCAGCCAUCAUUUAAAGAAAGCGUAAUAGCUCACUGGUCGAGUCGGCCUGCGCGGAAGAUGUAACGGGGCUAAACCAUGCACCGAAGCUGCGGCAGCGACGCUUAGCGUUGUUGGGUAGGGGAGCGUUCUGUAAGCCGUUGAAGGUGGCCUGUGAGGGUUGCUGGAGGUAUCAGAAGUGCGAAUGCUGACAUAAGUAACGAUAAAGCGGGUGAAAAGCCCGCUCGCCGGAAGACCAAGGGUUCCUGUCCAACGUUAAUCGGGGCAGGGUGAGUCGACCCCUAAGGCGAGGCUGAAAAGCGUAGUCGAUGGGAAACAGGUUAAUAUUCCUGUACUUGGUGUUACUGCGAAGGGGGGACGGAGAAGGCUAGGCUAGCCGGGCGACGGUUGUCCCGGUUUAAGCGUGUAGGGGGUGUGACCUGGUAAAUCCGGUUGCAUGCUAACCCUGAGGCGUGAUGACGAUGCACUACGGUGCAGAAGUAGUUGAUGCCCUGCUUCCAGGAAAAUCCUCUAAGCUCCAGGUAACAUUAAAUCGUACCCCAAACCGACACAGGUGGUCAGGUAGAGAAUACCAAGGCGCUUGAGAGAACUCGGGUGAAGGAACUAGGCAAAAUGGUGCCGUAACUUCGGGAGAAGGCACGCUGGCAUGUAGGUGAAGUCCCUCGCGGAUGGAGCUGAAGCCAGUCGAAGAUACCAGCUGGCUGCAACUGUUUAAUAAAAACACAGCACUGUGCAAACACGAAAGUGGACGUAUACGGUGUGACGCCUGCCCGGUGCUGGAAGGUUAAUUGAUGGGGUCAGCCGCAAGGCGAAGCUCUUGAUCGAAGCCCCAGUAAACGGCGGCCGUAACUAUAACGGUCCUAAGGUAGCGAAAUUCCUUGUCGGGUAAGUUCCGACCUGCACGAAUGGCGUAAUGAUGGCCAGGCUGUCUCCACCCGAGACUCAGUGAAAUUGAACUCGCUGUGAAGAUGCAGUGUACCCGCGGCAAGACGGAAAGACCCCGUGAACCUUUACUAUAGCUUGACACUGAACAUUGAGCCUUGAUGUGUAGGAUAGGUGGGAGGCUUUGAAGCGUGGACGCCAGUCUGCGUGGAGCCAUCCUUGAAAUACCACCCUUUAAUGUUUGAUGUUCUAACUCGGCC
rnacentral:rRNA from 1 species